rnacentral:rRNA from 1 species
GACAGAGGGUGCAACGUUGUUCGGAAUUACUGGGCGUAAAGCGCGUGUAGGCUGCUUCGCAAGUCGGAUGUGAAAGCCCUGGGCUCAACCCAGGAAGUGCAUUCGAAACUGCAGAGCUGGAGUCCUGGAGAGGAAGGCGGAAUUCUCGGUGUAGAGGUGAAAUUCGUAGAUAUCGAGAGGAACACCGGUGGCGAAGGCGGCCUUCUGGACAGUGACUGACGCUGAGACGCGAAAGCGUGGGGAGCGAACAGG